rnacentral:rRNA from 1 species
CCCUUAGAUGUUCUGGGCCGCACGCGUGCUACACUGAGUGGAUCAGCGGGUCAGGUUACGCGAGAGCGUUUCCUAAUCUUCAAAUCCGCUCGUGAUGGGGAUUGACGGUUGCAAUUUUCCGUCAUGAACGAGGAAUACCUUGUAAGCGCGGGUCAUCAUCCCGCGCUGAAUACGUCCCUGCCCUUUGUACACACCGCCCGUCGCUCCUACCGAUUGAGUGGUCCGGUGAGGCUUUGGGAUCCAAGCGAAAAGAGCGUUUCGCUCCUUUUGCUGGGAGAACUCAGUCGAACCUUAUCAUUUAGAGGAAGGAGAAGUCGUAACA